GUUUUUCUUAGCUAUCCUCAGUUGAAAUUAUGGUAAGAUUACCCUUGGGUAGGAGUUUGCUUAAACUUUUGAGAUUGCGGUGAUGUUUUGCUUAGACUGAAUUAAACAAUUUUUAUUUUGUUAUCCGUAGAGUUGUCCCUCGGUCGUGAGUAAUCUUAGAUAUCACAAAUUGUGGUACGUAUAUCUCUUUCGUUCCGUCGAGGAUACGUUCUUCGUAUUUUGAGUUAUGUGUGAGUUUUACGUAUUGGUAAUUGAGUUUUUAUUACUGGGCUUUUUGAUAAAUUCGAGGACGAAUUUUUAAUAAGUUGGGGAUAAUGUAAAACCCCAUAAAAUUUUAAAAUUUAUUUUUGCGAGUUUCAGUAAUAUUUUGAGUCAUUUACGUAUUUGAAAUUCGUUGGGUGGUUCGAUUUGUGGCUUGGUUCGUGGCUCGGUUCGGUCUUUGGUUCUCUAGGUUUGUGGUACAUGCGGAAAAUCUCAGGUCUCAAUCGAGACCUGAAAUUUUCACGUAAAGUCUCGUUCGAGACCUUCAGUCUCGAACGAGACUUCUUCAAUUUGUUGUUGGUCUCGUUCGAGACCAGCAUUUUGGUUCACAGGGGUCCAUUUUUUCCUUCGUUUUAUAACCUAACUAACUCCUAUAAAUCCGUAACUUUUCAAUCCUAAUCUAUUCACCACACGGCACACUAAACCCUAGCUGCCAAUUCUUGCUGAUCCUUUGAGGAAUCGCUGCCCUUAUUUUCCUCCCAAAGUUUCCAAAAUUUUUGGUAAGUUUGUUCUUAAAUUUUCAGAUUUAGCUUUAAAGCGAUACCUCCGUAAUUUGGAUCGUUCUCCUUCGUUUCUGAAGCAAAUUCAGUUCCGCUUCGUCGCUGAGAAAGUAGACUCAUUCCUCUACAACUUUGCCUUUCGAAUUUUGUCAAACGCCGUUUGGAGAUCGAAAUCCGUUCCGUUCAUUCCCCGUGAUAGUAGGCUCGCUCCUCUACGAUUCUACACUUUUCUUUUGUCAAACGGUACGUAAACGCACCCGUAUCAAUCGCCGUCGUUUCAUCGUUUUGCGGUAGCUUAAGUUUCUACUUGCUCUGUUUAUUGUCAUAGGCUAAGUGUUGAUUCCUGGGUGUGAUUCUUAUUACGUUAGGCUAUUAUCUUACGUCCGAAUGAAGUCGUUUCAUCUCUGAAAUUCUUCAAAACUUCAUUGAUUCUCAGAGACCCGUCGACUGCUCGUGCUUCGGAGUCUACGCAGGGUUAGCUGUUUGCCAAGAUCACGUGGAUAAGCAAGCAGUUUAUUAUUUUGAGCGAGUCUGCAGAUCUCCGAAUCUUUAUUCCUCGGAGGUUUAUUUUCUUUUUAAUAAAUUGUCAAACUACUUUUAUUCUUAGACCGCAGUAGUAAAUUAGAAGUCUAUAUUAUUCUAGUCUGUUUGUCGGAUUUGUCUGACUGGCUUUCUUUUAUGCUUUGGCAUUAAUAUUGUUUAACUCUGGUUAUAUUUAUUUAAUGGAAGUACUUAUAUUUAAACUGUUA